UAUCCACGGUGCACAGGUGGGGCUGAAACGGAUAACAGGAGCGGGCGCCGGAGGGGCGGAGGAGAGCCGCGAAGAAAGAGAAAGAAGAAGCCGGAGAAAGACGGCGACAGCUGGGAAUAGAAAGAAAAAAAUUACGGAGGAAAAGAGGAGAGACGGACGUCGACGUUGAAAAGGAUGCUGCGCGCUGUCGAUUACGACCAUGCGGGGUCGUUCGGUAACGUCGAGUAAACCCGUUCGAGACAAGUUUCAACCAACCGACUAAUUUCGAACAGUCGCGAGGAAGUUCUCGUCGAUCGAAGAAGCAAAAGUGUCUAACAGGAUGGGUCCGGAGAAUCUCGAUUAUACCGUUGGCUUUCGUGGAAAAUAGAAGCUGCCAAGCUGCCGGAGAGGGCGAAACCGUGACGACGGAAGCCCCGGUUUAUCGAGAAUUUUGAGAAUGGUAAUGCGGAAGCGGGUCAGGAAGAGACAGAGAAUAAGGAAAAGGAGGAGACGUAUAGUUGGAAUCGGGCGAAGCCGAGAGGUUGGUGGAAGGAAAAGCGAGAAGCUGCGGAAUAAUCUGGGAACGAGAAGAAAAGGAAAAGUUGAAACGCCGAAAGAAAAAGAGUUAAAACGCGUGGAGCGUGAAAGAGAGCGUGUAUUCGGUAAGGAGCGAAGAGCGAGCAGACCGGAGCGCUGUGAAUGGAACACGUGUACGGUGUCGCAUCUAUCUGAAAAGUUCAUCGUUACAAAGAUCUCUCGAAAAGAAUUUCCUGGAAUGCGAGCUAUCUUCGGGACCAUGGUGGCGAGUGUGUAAUCGAAGGAAUCGUAGAGCACUUUUCUCAUGCAAAUACCCUCGGAUGCGAGAGAAGGGACAACCAACUUCUUCUUUGGUCCGCUUAAAACUUCGAACUUGGGUAUCCUUUUAAAUUUAAAUGCUUUCCCCCAGCUCGAGCGCAUCCGUGCCCCUGAGUUCCUCUUUCGAACGACAUCGUCGCCUCGCCUCGCCUCGAUGUCGCCUCGAUGUCGCCUCGAUAUUAAGAAAAAUACUAAAAUCUACUUGUUCCUCGCGUAUUCUAUGCACAGGUAAACCGACAUUUCCUCUAAUAUCCUUUUCGAUUAUUACGUUCCACUGUUCCAGAUACGUUUUCGAGUCUCGCGGCCAAUCGAAUUUGUAGAGCUUUCGCUCGUAACGAGUCGACGCGAUACGUCCGCGUCCGUCGAAAACUACAGCAGCUUUACCAGCUAUAGCAGCGGGAAACGACGAGAAAUAUUAAUAAUAGCUGGUAUAUCUAUUAAAUGAAAUUAUCGCGAGCAAACGGUCGCACGCGAGCCUUGCCCGCUUGGAUUUUACCGCAAUUCGAUCUACAUAUAUUUAAUCUAGCCCGUUGUAUAGCUACGCGCGUCGCACGGUCACGCGUUCUACGGCAACGCGUUAGGAAUUUCGGAAUUUAGAAAUUUCAAACUUUACAGAUUCGAGCAUUUCGGGAUUCUAACAACGGAUUAUCCUAGUUUUCCACGCUGACGCCGGGGCCUUCUAUAAAAUGUGGCGAAAUUUCGAUAUCGAUAAUGAGUACGUACAUAAAUAUCAGUUUGUAGCGCACGUAACGAAACACACUGCAUAUUUCAACGCGAAUGGGAAAAUAUUUUCCAGAGAAGCGUUAAAAAUUCAAUCUUUCGAGUAACAAAAUGCUGGGGAAUUUCCAUAACUGGCGCCAUUGUUUUUGCAGGAAACGUUACGGUGGUCAUAAAAGGACGUUCGUUCGAUCCGGCAAUUAUUGAAACGAAUAAAAUUUUCACUCUGUACGUAAUAAUAAGCGGGCGCACGAAUAUACCGCAAUAAUUACGAGAACGUGCACCGGAAUCGUUGCGAUCCAAAUGUAUCAAAAAUUAUUAUUUCCCGGGCGACGUUCAAUGACCAGAAAAAUAUUUGCCUAUAACGAGACGCGUCGUCGAGCCGGGGACAGGAUACGAUCGCAAUUUGAAAUUCGAAUUAUUAUAAUUAUGGGUUGGUCCGUUAAAAAUCAGAAGACAAAGAGAGAAAAGCGGUAACCACCGCUAUCCAAUGAUACAAUUAAUAAAGAGUUACAUGGUAGAAUGCGUCUACGAGAUGAGCUUGUUAAAUCGAAAAUUUUCAUGCGCAUUAAAUUAAGAAUCGAUCGUACGCGUUAUUACGAUACUAACGCAACUUGCCAAUAUUUCCCUCGUAUUAAACGAAGAAAAAAACAGGCGUAAUAAUCAUUCUCCGCGUUAAUAGAGUAUAAACGUUUCCUUUCUCGUCCUGCGGAGUGUUCUUAUCAAGAUUCUUCUCAACUUAUCAGGAUAGUUCCUUACGCGCAAGGAAGAUGAUCUGCGCCCGGAACGACUCGAAGAACGCUGCGAGAUCACCGGCAACGGCAACGGCAACGCGUCGGCUACCUAUUCGAUGUAUACGAUAUUUCUUCGCGACUUGUCAAUAAAACGUUUACGA